GUAGAAGAUUUGAACAACUUAAAAAUAUCUUUAAAAGGCUUUUCCCAUACAGUGCACGUAGCUAAGAGGGUCUUUUCAAGGGGGUGGUGCCUCAGUGAGGAAAAGGAGAAAAAUGGAAGUGUCUUCUGGGAAUUGUAGUUUUCCACUGCUCUCUCUGCGCUAGGACUACUUGUCCCAAGAUGCAGUUCCACACCCUCAGGUUCCCUAGUUACUAUCUCCAAGGCCUGGAGUUGGGGCUUGGAGAAAGGGAUAAGGUGAGGAAGGGGGCCGGGCGAAGCGGAGUAAUGGUUUUGGGAAACGUGGAAACGACUCGGAAAUAACUAGGAGGAAAGGGCUUAUCAAAGUUUUGAUUUUGUUGCAAAAGCUAGUCAAGACCUAACUUUUCUCUGGUGAACAAAUAUGUCUGUUCAAGAAAUAAAUAAACAUGCAGUUCUCCCUCCUA